rnacentral:lncRNA from 1 species
UCUGUCCGUUCAGUCUUGUUAGCGCUGUCAUUUGUACAAUUAUUGUCAGAAUUUUGUGAAACUUAUAUCAUCAUGCAGCAAUGUCUUUCACUCAUGCGAGUAUAAAUCCUGAUCAAAUAUUUUUAACCAAUAUAUGCCCCUUGGAAAUAUAAAUUAUAAAUGCAAAUCUCAUUGUAUUUGUUUGGAAGCUUUUUCUCUUGAGAUAUAAAUUUAAAAAAAGAAAAAGUGCUUUGUUUAGUUUUUGCCCUCUUGUACAUAAAAAUGUAUCUUGUAUGCGGGGGACAUUGGAUCUCUGAUCUUUUAUUGAAAACAACAUUAAUAUUUGUACCUAGAUGGAAAAGGGUAUUCAUGAGUCCUGGAAUAAAAACACUUCAUUACAAAUAGAGUCGUCGUCUUUCAUGCCAAAGAAAACGAUAUUAGGAUAUGAUGUUUCAGAUUUUUUUAUCCAUCUUGUUUAC